rnacentral:lncRNA from 10 species
GCGCAUUGGCAACCUGCUGGGGUCUCCUUCCGCAUUGUGGCUGCUUUGUUCUUUCGCUCUUUGCAGUAAAUCUUGCUACUGCUCAGUCUUUGGGUCCACGCUGCUUUUAUGAGCUGUAACACUCACCGCGAAGAUCUGCAGUUUCACUCCUGAACCCAGCAAGACCACGAGCCCACCGGGAGAAACAAACAACUCCAGACGUGCUACCUUAAGAGCUGUAACACUCACCGUGAAGGUCUGCAGCUUCACUCCUGGAGCCAGUGAGCCCACGAGCCCACCGGGAGGAACGAAAGACUCCAGACGCGCUGCCUUAAGGGCUGUAACACUAACCGUGAAGGUCUGUAGCUUCACUCCUCAGCCAGCGAGACCACGAACCCACCAGAAGGAAGAAACUCCAAACACAUCUGAACAUCAGAAGGGGCAGACUCCAGACGCGCCACCUUAAGAGCUGUAACACUCACCGCGAGGGUCCGUGGCUUCAUUCUUGAAGUCAGUGAGAGCAAGAACCCACCAAUUCCGGACACACUUCCACAUCUUCAGGUUUGUCAGGAAGACCUGCUUGGGACCCCUCUCUGCAGCAGAGAGCUUUUCUCUUUCUUUCGCCUAUUAAACCUCCGCUCUUGGCCAGGCACAGUGGCUCAUGCCUGUAAUCCCAGCACUUUGGGAGGCCAAGGAGGGCAGAUCAUGAGGUUAGGAGUUCGAGACCAGGUUGGCCAAUAUGGUGAGACCCUGUCUCUACUAAAAAAACAAAACUUACCCUGGCGUGGGGGUGUGCGCCUGUAAUCCCAGCUACUCGGGAGCCUGAGGCAGGAGAAUCACUGGAACCUGGGAGGCAGAGGUUGCAGUGAGCCAAGAUCGUGCCACUGCACUCCAGCCCGGGUGACAGAGCAAGACUCUGUCAAAAAGAAAAAAAAGGCCAAGCGCAGUGGCUCACGCCUGUAAUCCCAGCACUUUGGGAGGCUGAGUUGGGUGGAUCACCUGAGGUCAGGAGUUCAAGACCAGCCUGGCCAACAUGAUGCAACACCACCUCUACUAAAAAUACAAAAAUUAGCUGAGCGUAGUGGCGUGCGCCUGUAGUCCCAGCUACUUGGGAAGCUGAGGCAGGGGAAUCGCUUGAACCCGGGAGGUGGAGGUUGCAGUGAGCCGAUCACGCCUCUGGACUCCAGCCUGGGAGACAGAGCAAGACUCCGUCACAGAAAAAAAAUAAAGAAAAAGAAAAGAAAACCUCACUGUUAACCUCAAAAAAGAUUUGUCUUUCAUUAUGUCCCUAAAUACACACAUCAGUUACUUGUAGCAUGCAUAUUCCCAUUUCAAUGCUCUAUUCACAAAUAAACGUCUUUUCCUUUAGAAAGCAUGUUUCUGUUUUUUAUUUAAGUUGACAUAUAUGGUGUCGGAAGUGAGAUCUGAACAGUAUCACUACAGGAAGGAAUCAGCAAUCUUUGGAACUGGUGUGCAGUAUAUAUUUGAACUCUUUGAGAUCUCUGCUUCAAUAGCUCACCUUUUCUACCCUGGCAGGAUACAGUUGGAAACAUUGGUUAUAUUACUAAGGCUUUGACUGAAAUGUUAUAUUUAAGAAUAUGCAUACAAUGCCUAGCUUCAAGAGUUCCUGGCCCUACACUAAGUGAGUCAAACUUGACAUCUUUCAGCCAGGUGUGGUGGCUCAUGCCUGUAAUCCCAGCACUUUGGGAGGCCGAGGCGGGCGGAUCACCUGAGGUCGGGAGUUCGAGACCAGCCUGGCCAACAUGGUGAAACCCCAUCUCUACUAAAAAUACAAAAAGUAGCCAGGUGAGGUGGUGCGUGCCUGUAAUCCUAGCUACUCGGGAGGCUGAAGCAGAAGAAUCACUGGAACCUGGGAGGCGGAGGCUGCAGUGAGCCGAGACUGAGCCACUGCACUCCAGUCUGGGGGACAGAGUGAGACUCUGUCUCAAAAAAAACAAAAAAACAAACAACAACAACAACAACAAAAAGGACAUCUUUCACAUUUGUCCCUUUUGAUCAAGAUCUGGCAGAUCCAAGAACCUUUAAACUCUCUGCAGGCAGGAACAAUCCAGCAGGAAGAUCACUGAGCCAGGACUGAGGUGAUUUCUCAUCCCAGGUUUACCACUGACGUGUCAUGGGUCUUGAGGUAAACAACUUAAUUUAUAGGGUCUUAUCCACAGUCCACUGCAGUCCUGCUAGUCCCUGGACUGCUCAGUCUGGCAUG